GAAUAAGUAAUUCUGCACCCGGGUCAUAUACCGAGCUAGAUGUCCAUCCGGUUCGAUCGAUCAUUGCUGAUUGUGCUCGGCCGUAUUUUUUUUACCCCGACGGUUCGUGGGAUUUGGAAGCUGUCCCACUACCUCCCGUCGCCCGUCACCUGAUUUCCCCCCUCGUAGUUUUCUAAUCGAGCGUAUGCGGCGGUUGGCGAUUGAGCGGCCGCCAGCGAGCGCAUGAGCGGCGGAUGGACUCGGUGGCCAUAGGAGCAGCUGCUGGUCUCUGCCACGACCGUGUCCUCGGCUGCGUCGUGGCCGGUCGGCCGAAUCGGCGUCGUGACCGGCCGGCCGAAUCGGCGGCGGCGUGGUCGUCGGCGAUAACGGAGACAUGGUGCACUGCGUAUUGCACGCGGGUAGAAUCUGUAUCAAAUUCGGUCACACUUUUGAUAUGCUGUUAUGGAUUACUGUAGAUUGCUGCCGCAACGCUAGCAUAUGGGUCUGUGAACGUGGCAUCUAGGCAUCUAGCCCCUUGCAGUUAUUGAUAUGCAAUUCCAGAAGCAGAAGAGAUAGGAAGAUUCUUUGCUCGGAUGCAAGCAACAGGAGCUGACAUAGUGAAAAUUGAAACCACUGCUACUGAGAUCGUUGAUGUGUCAAGAAUAUUUUGAAAUGCUUGUGCACUGCCAAGCAUCAAACAAGAACUGCUCAGCACUGAGGAAGACAUGACUUCAGCUCUCAACUAAGCAAGCCUGACAAUUGUGGCAAAUGGAAAGGAACUACUAUGCUGUAAGUUGUUUUCAGUCAACAAGUGAUUAUGCCACGGAGGUGGAGAUGUGUUCAUCCGAGAUCACCAUGGAGUCCCUCUGGCGGGGGCAUGCCAUUUUUCCCCGAGUGACUGACCCGGAGAGAGCUGAGCUGCUUGCGUGUCACCAUGCUGUUAACUUGGCGAAGGAGUUGGGACUGAUGAAAAUAGCACUGGAAACGGACUGUACUGUGGUGGUGGCGAAACUUCGGGACAAGAACCGGUCGAUCCACGGAACACUUGUGGAAGAAAUCAAAGCGUCUCUUGGGGAACUUGAUGAUUUCAGGGUCCUUCACGUGCGACGAUCUGGUAAUUUGGUGGCUCACAAAUUAGCUAAGGAUGGCUGUAUGAAUAAGUGUUGUAAUAGAUGGGUAUCAUGGGUUGAAUCCCUCCCAGACUUUGUGUUAAACCUUGCCGCUCUGAACAUGGGCAAUUAAUAAAGAUGGCAGCCAUUUGAUCUAAAAAAAACAAGUGAUUAUGCCAUUUGGAGAAUGUAAUUUGCUAUUUAGAAUGAUUCUGGGAUAUGUUUUUUUUGGCAAA